AUUGAACGCUGGCGGCGUGCCUAACACAUGCAAGUCGAGCGGUAACAGGUGUAGCAAUACAUGCUGACGAGCGGCGAACGGGUGAGUAGUGCUUCGGAAUCUACCCAAUGGUGGGGAAUAACCAGCCGAAAGGUUGGCUAAUACCGCAUACGUCCCACGGGAGAAAGCAGGGGAUCGCAAGACCUUGCGCCAAUGGAUGAGCCGAAGUCGGAUUAGCUAGUUGGAGGGUAACGGCCUACCAAGGCGACGAUCCGUAGCUGGUCUGAGAGGACGACCAGCCACACUGGGACUGAGACACGGCCCAGACUCCUACGGGAGGCAGCAGUGGGGAAUAUUGGACAAUGGGGGAAACCCGUGAUCCAGCGACGCCGCGUGUGUGAAGAAGGCCUGCGGGGUUGUAAAGCAC
rnacentral:rRNA from 1 species